rnacentral:rRNA from 1 species
CCUUACGGCCAGGGCUACACACGUGCUACAAUGGCGCGUACAGAGGGCUGCAAGCUAGCGAUAGUGAGCGAAUCCCAAAAAGCGCGUCGUAGUCCGGAUUGGAGUCUGCAACUCGACUCCAUGAAGUCGGAAUCGCUAGUAAUCGCGAAUCAGAAUGUCGCGGUGAAUACGUUCCCGGGCCUUGUACACACCGCCCGUCACACCAUGGGAGUGGGUUGCACCAGAAGUAGAUAGCUUAACCUUCGGGAGGGCGUUUACCACGGUGUGAUUCAUGACUGGGGUGAAGUCGUAACAAGGUAACCCUAGGGGAACCUGGGGUUGGAUCACCUCCUUA